rfam:Salmo salar isolate Sally breed double haploid chromosome ssa01, whole genome shotgun sequence.
UGCAUUCACUACUGUAAGUCGCUCUGGAUAAGAGCGUCUGCUAAAUGACGUAAU